rnacentral:other from 1 species
AGAUAUCUGAUGUGUACGCGAUACCUCAUAAUGUGUGAACCCUACAAGUCAUUUAAUUAGGGAUCCUAAUGAGGUUGACAAUGACAAGCCUUUUCACUUGGAAGUCAGAAUCAAUCUUUGUGGAGCCCACCUGCAAAUAGCGGGUUCUAAACUAGAGGUAACCAACCGGCACGAUCGGAUAUCUU